CUAAGGCAGGAGAAUUGCUUGAAUCCGGGAGGCAGAGGUUGAGGUGAGCCAAGAUCACGCAAUUGCACUCCAGCCUGGGUGACAGAGUGAGACUCUGUCUCAAAAAAAAAAAAAAAAGGCAGUGAGGAGAGAGAGGAGGAAGUCACAGGCCACACACAGUUAAUUGUCUCAAGGUACCAAGGUAUUGGCUGGAAGUCAGGGGACACAAAAAGAUGUCAUGGGGAGAGGUCCGCACAGAGGAAGCCCUGGGGUCUCAGAGAAACAUCAAACGUUGUGGCCUCUGUCAGUGGUUUUCCCUGUCCAGGGCACUCUCCCCUUCUCUCUUCACUUAUACCUCCAUGUCAUUCAGAUCUCAGCUCAAUUGUCA
rnacentral:lncRNA from 10 species